GGGGAUGUGGCUCAGAGGUAGAGCACUUGCCUAGCAAGUACAAAUACCCCAGGUUCAAUUCCCAGCAUACACC
rnacentral:tRNA from 1 species